UCCUUUUUCAUAAAACCGUUAAUACCCAGGGUGCAUUGCUUGAAGAGGUGCAGUUGCGACUUGACUUCGAGGAGCAACACAUUGCACGCGGUGUGGUAGCCUUUUUUGAGGUUUUUGAGGACUUUGCUGAUUUUCGAAGCUUUUCCAAAACUUCUUUUGCAGCCGUUUGGUAAGUUAAACUUUUAAAACUUUUUUGGGGUUUUUUGGAUUUUGGGUUGGGGUGUUUGGAAUUCAAGGACUUGGUGUUGGGGAGAGGUUUGCAAGAAUCUGGGAGCUUGUGUGGGUUUUUCCUGCAUUUUUAUGAUUUUUUGUGACCAUUGGGGCACUCUGCUGUUUUUUUUAAAAAAAAUUCUGGGUUUGAAUUUCUGUGUGGUGGGUGGCUGGGGGAACAGUUGAGGAGGGGUUUGCAAGAAUCUGGAAGCUUGUGUGGUUUUUUUCUGCAUUUUUAUGAUUUUCUGUGACCAUUGGGCCAUGUUGUUUUUUUUCAAAAAAAAAUUCUGGGUUUGAAUUUCUGUGUGGUGGGUGGCUGGGGGAACAGUUGGGGAGGGGUUUGCAACAGUUGGGGAGGGGUUUGCAACAGUUGGGGAGGGUUUUGCAACAGUUGGGGAGGGGUUUGCAAUUUCUGUGUGGUGGGUGGGUGGCUGGGGGAACAGUUGAGGUUUUUGAAGACUUUGGUGAUUUUUAAAGCUUUUCCAAAACUUCUUUUGCAGCCAUUUGAGGAUUUUGAAGACUUUGGUGAUUUGCAGUCACUUCGUAAGUUAAACUUUUAAAACUUUUUGGGGGGUUUUUGGAUUUUGGGUUGGGUGUUUGGAAUUCAAGGACUUGGUUCUGGGUUUGAAUUCCUGUGUGGUGGGUGGCUGGGUGCUUUUGAAUUUUUUGGGUAUGAAGCACUGAUUAUUAUUUUUUUCUGAGUUUACGAAGCUAGGAGCUGUGCUGCCAUGGGACCCAAGAAGACUGCUGCUGCAGAGGCCGGCGAGAGGAAGAAGGAGAAGGUGACGCUGGAAAUGAAGAAGGAGAUCAUCCGGAAGCACGACGGUGGAAUGCGUGUGACAGACCUCGCCAGGGAGUACGGCAGGAACCCAUCGACCAUCGGCACCAUCCUGAAGAUGAGGGAGAAGAUCCUUGCGGCUGAUGCAGCCAAGGGAGUCACCAGGAUCGUGAAGAACCGCCCAGCUGUUCUGGAGGAGGUGGAGAAGUUGCUGCUCAUCUGGUUAGAAGAGAAGCAGCGUGCAGGGGACACAGUGACUGAGGCCAUGAUUUGUGAGAAGGCCAAGGCCUUGCACGCAGACCUCGUCCGGGAACAGCCAGGAACCUCAGGCGAGCCAGAAGUCUUCAAGGCAAGCAGAGGCUGGUUUGACCGGUUCAAGACAAGAUCUGGAAUCCACAGCGUGGUCAGGCAUGGAGAGGCUGCCAGUUCUGAUGUUCCUGCGGCUGAAGACUUUGCAUUGGAGUUCCUGGAGGCUGUGAAGACGGAGGGCUACGUUCCACAGCAGGUCUUCAACUGCGACGAGACCGGGCUGUUUUGGAAGAGGAUGCCCAAAAGGACUUUCAUCACUCAGGAGGAGGCCAAGUUGCCUGGCCACAAGCCCAUGAAGGACCGUCUGACCCUGCUCUUCUGUGCCAACGCAAGCGGCGACCUGAAGAUCAAGCCCCUGCUGGUGUACCACUCGGAGAACCCACGGGCCUUCAAGAAACACAAGGUCGACAAGGAGCAGCUGAGUGUCAUGUGGCGAUCCAACAGUAAGGCUUGGGUCACACGUGUGCUGUUUGUGGACUGGGUCAAUCUUGCUUUUGGCCCUGCUGUCAAACAGUACCUGCUGGACAACAACCUGCCGCUGAAGGCUUUGCUUCUGAUGGACAAUGCUCCUGCUCAUCCUAAAGGCCUUGAGGAGGACUUGUUGGAGGAGUUCAGCUUCAUCAACAUCAUGUUCCUGCCGCCUAACACCACGCCACUGCUCCAGCCGAUGGAUCAGCAGGUCAUCGCCAAUUUCAAAAAUCUCUACACCAAGGAGCUUUUCAGGCGAUGCUUUGAGGUGACUGAUUGCACCACCAUCACCCUGCGGGAAUUCUGGAAGGACCACUUCGACAUCGUCACCUGCUUGAAGAUGAUCACCACGGCCUGGAAAGGGAUCAGCCAGAGAAAUUUGAAUUGCGCUUGGGGCAGCCUGUGGCCGGACUGUGUGGCACCAAGUGACUCUGAUGCACCAGAGUCAACAGUGGUGCAGGACAUUGUUGCCUUGGGGAGGACCAUGGGCCUGGAGGUCACAGAGGAGGACGUCUGCGAGCUGGUGGAGGAGCACGACCACGAGCUGACCACCCAGGAGCUGGUCGAACUGCAGGCAGAGGCUGCGCAGGAGCAGGCCUCGCUGGAAGAGGAGGAAGCAACUGAGGAACGGCUGUCCUCCAAAGAACUGAGGGACAUUUGCAUGAAUUGGAAGGAUGUGCAGGCUUUUGCAGAGCGGAACCACCCUAACAAGCACGUGGCACAUGACCUUGCGAAUACUUUUGAUACGACGGUCAUGUCGCCUUUCAGGGAGGUGCUGAAAAGGCAGAUGAAGCAGCAGACCAUGGACAGGUUCUUCAGCAAGAAGCAAAGAGUGGAAGAGGAACCUUCUUCGAGUGGUCCCCCAGAGUCUUAGAAAAUGUAAUGUACACUUUGUUGAUUUUUAAAUGUUUUUCC
rnacentral:lncRNA from 1 species